GGAGAAGAUAUGAGGUAAUUAAGGGUACAAGAAGUUGAGAUUCAAACAUCCUCCACCUUCCCACCCCCCACUGCCAGUGGGUGAUAAGGAAAUGAUCACAGACGACUGAAGUGAGCUAACAUGAUUGUGGAUAUACCCAUAUUAAUUCAUACCGGAAACACAGAUGAGAAGGUUGAGAAGGAAUAGUAAAGACCAUGAGUUCGGUUUAGAUUCACAGAGUGUGGAAGUCCAAGAGGAAGGUAAAAAGGACUGAAGGCCCAGAGUCAACUGUACAGUAGUACAAGCUACGGAGGUGGAUAUAAUCACUCAAGAAAGAUAUGGCAAAAUGGUAAGUGGUGGGGUGAUGGUAAAAAGAGACAAGGGUCUAGUGUGGUGGUUGAAAGAAGCAGCUGAAGUCAGAUUAGUCACUUAAAUUACUUGAUUUUCUGAGCCUUCGUUUCAACUGCAAGAUAAAGCUUACAAUGGCAUCAACUUGAGAUGGCUGGUGCAUUAAAGAUAUAAUUCAUAUAAAGCCAUUAGACCAAACCCUGCAUGAGAGCUCAAUGAAUGUCAGCAAUUCUUACCAUAGUGUACCAUUAUAAUGUUGGCAUAAAAUUAGAUUUUCAGAAAAAAUAAGCUUAUUAACAUGUAUUAGUUAUAGAGGCUUAUUACUAAAAAUGCAUGAUGAAAAACCUAUGGGCAAGCAAAAAUAUUUUAGAAUUCUCCACCUCUUCUCUCAAUACCCAUACUCUUAAGAGUUAUAUUAAAGGCAGACUUGUUUAAAUGUCAGGACAUUUACCUUAGCUUCUUUCCUUUAGUUAGCCUAGUGGCUCUUAAAUUUUAGUUUGCUUAAGAAUAACAAUAGCAACACAGUGUUUAGUACGAAGUCAUGCAUGUAUUUCAACUAAGUAGAUAUUUUAAGGAAUUUUCUGCAGUAAUUUUGAAAAAACUUUUAUCACCAUAACUGGUGAUUUUGGAAUUGAAUUACCCAUGUGCCCAUCCACCUCCCACUGCAUCUCCCAGUUGCAGCGGGAGGUGAACGGGCACAUGGGUAAAAUUAUAUAUUGGGUACACAUAUAUAUAUGAUGAAAUUUAACAGACUAAAACAAGGUUUAAGAAGAGUUAUCUUGUCCAACAUCAUAUAGUCGAUAAGAAACAGGAUUUGAACUCGGGUCUGCCUUACUCAAAGGCAAGGUCUCUUUUCAGUUUUCUCUAUGCUACAUCUGUAGGAUAGGGAGAUCCCAAGCAGGUUUAGUACGGUGCUUCACUGAAGGAAUAUCAACAUUUAAGAAGAUGGUGGAGAGAUAAUCGUAGACUAUGGUGUGCAGAAGCCAACAAAGGCUGAAGUAACAUACAAUCUUCAAUUUCUACUGAAAUGGGAAAUUUUGAAGACACUAAUAACCCUUACAAAGGAGGGUGAAAAUAAAAUAUGAGGCAAACAGUAAAUCUCAGGAAUGAGGUAGACGAAAAAAUAAGCGCAGCAUAUUGACUAAAGCACAUUUCUUCCUCUAUAGUUUGGGAACUGUGUCACAGUCGGACCAAUAUAUGGCUCUAACCAACAUGUAGCUUUUCUUUUCUUUUCUUUUUUUUUUUUUUUGGUCUUCUUAAUUUGAGGAUUUAGCAUUCCAGUUGUCAUGUUUGAUGCCAUUCUGAAAUAAAUCUCUUAGGAAGAAAAA
rnacentral:lncRNA from 1 species